rnacentral:rRNA from 1 species
GAUCCUGGCUCAGGAUGAACGCUGGCGGCGUGCUUAACACAUGCAAGUCGAACGAAGCAUUUAAGAUUGACUCUUCGGAUGAUUUCUUUUGUGACUUAGUGGCGGACGGGUGAGUAACGCGUGGGUAACCUGCCUCACACAGGGGGAUAACAGUUAGAAAUGGCUGCUAAUACCGCAUAACCCGAUAGGAUCGCAUGAUCCAGACGGAAAAGAUUUAUCGGUGUGAGAUGGACCCGCGU